rnacentral:rRNA from 1 species
UACGUAGGUGGCAAGCGUUGUCCGGAUUUAUUGGGCGUAAAGAGCGUGUAGGCGGUUAGGUAGGUCCGUUGUGAAAACUCGAGGCUCAACCUCGAGACGUCGGUUGAAACCGUCUGGCUAGAGUCCGGAAGAGGAGAGUGGAAUUCCCGGUGUAGCGGUGAAAUGCGCAGAUAUCGGGAAGAACACCCGUGGCGAAGGCGGCCCUCUGGGACGGUACUGACGCUGAGACGCGAAAGCGUGGGGAGCGAACAGG